AAACUUAGGAUAAACUUAAACCAAGGGCCUUCAAAGCCCAAAACAUGAAACCCGACCUUCAUAG
rnacentral:tRNA from 1 species